rnacentral:lncRNA from 1 species
AUCCAGUGUAGCUGAUGGUUCUCUGAUGUCUCUGUAUAUUUAUCAGCAUCUGAGGGAGAGUAGAGGUGGUAUAGCAGAGGUCCAGAAAGGAGAGAUUAGCCAGAAAGAAAUACAUGGGUGUGUGGAGUCUGGGUUCAAGGCGAGACAAGAUAAUGAUGGCUGAAUUUCCAAACAGUGUCAUUAUAUAAAAGAUACAGAUGGCUACAAAAAGAAACAUUUUGAGUCUGGGCCAUUUGGAGAAGCCUACCAGAACAAAGCCUUUGGGCUGAUGGAAGGUGUCAUUGAAUCUUCUCAUUGCUAGGACUCUGGAAACACCAAUGCUAGAAUUUUGAAAGACUGAUUAUCCCAUGCUUAUACUUUAAUGUUAUCUCAUUAACAAAAUGCCAUGGAUAAACUGGGUAGGUGAUGCUGAAACAAAUAAAAUCAUUAAUAUAGUUUCUUUUGUUACCUCAGUAAGAAAAAUUAACAUUAAUAAUUAUGUAUCCGCAUUUUAGCAGCCAUAUUCUAAUUAUGAUUUUUCCUUAAUAACAGUUUACUCAGAAAAGUAUUUACAAAAGUACAGACAGUAAGGAUGCAUAUAUGUGUAUCAAAAUAUUUGUCAUUAAAGGGUGUGAGAUCUGAUAAGACUGAAGAAAAUGGAUGCUUACUUGGAGCUUCAUCAAAUUUGUAUUUAGAGAAGUUUUCUUAUAAUGUUCAUUCUAUUCAAUUUACCUUAUUGCUGCUUUGUAUUGGAAAUUAUCACCCACAAAAGACACUGUUAUUUAGCAAAGAUGGUCAUUUGGACAGUGUGGAAGGACAUCCAGAGAAAAGACCAUAAAGGCGAGAAAGACAAGGAAAAUAGAAAUGAAGUCAUCAAAAACAGAAUUCAUCUAAUUAAAAACUUUUCCAUGGCGAAGUGUAACUUAUUUCUCUCGUAGAUGUUCUUCAUUACUAAUUUCAGGGAAAAAGGAAAACAGAAAGAAGCAUUCUUAUUUUAAUGAUAUUUUCUGAAGAUAAAAAGACUUCAGAAUGACAUUUAUUAUUCGGGGACAGAUUUCAAAGACUAACCAUCAUGUAGUAAGUCCAAGCUAAAGAUAUGUUUAGAAAACAAACUUCACAUCUUACUUCAUCUAAACAAAUACUCAUAACAAUAAUUGAAAAUAGUUUUCC